rnacentral:rRNA from 1 species
CUUUGGGAGCUUGCUCCUGAAGGUUAGCGGCGGACGGGUGAGUAACACGUGGGCAACCUGCCUAUAAGACUGGGAUAACUUCGGGAAACCGGAGCUAAUACCGGAUAAUUCUUUUCUACACAUGUAGAAAAGCUAAAAGACGGUUUACGCUGUCACUUAUAGAUGGGCCCGCGGCGCAUUAGCUAGUUGGUGAGGUAAUGGCUCACCAAGGCCACGAUGCGUAGCCGACCUGAGAGGGUGAUCGGCCACACUGGGACUGAGACACGGCCCAGACUCCUACGGGAGGCAGCAGUAGGGAAUCUUCCGCAAUGGACGAAAGUCUGACGGAGCAACGCCGCGUGAGUGAUGAAGGUUUUCGGA